CCUGAAAUAGGGGUCGUCUUAUAAUCAGGGUUGUCUUAUUUUCAGGUCAACAUUUCACAGCUCUCUGAUGUUUGAGCGGCACAAUAAAGUUCGGAUACCUGGAUUUUCAGCUCUGGACUCUACAGCAGUCAGUAGAUAGGAGCUGUGAGAAAUGUCAGUCAUUUAACAAAGGGGAAAAAACUCUUUUCAGUCUCUGUGUGAUACUCCCCGUUCCCCGAUAAUUCCUGUCCCCCUGUAGUCCUUUCCCCCUGUAGUCCUGUUCCCCUGUAGUCCUGUUCCCCUAUAGUUCUGUCCCCCUGUUGUCCUGUUCCCCUGUAGUCCUGUUCCCCUAUAGUUCUGUCCCCCUGUAGUCCUGUUCCCCCAUAGUCCAGCCUUGUGAGUUUUCAGUUUGUGUUUCCCUCCUGUUCUCUGUGUUUUAUUCUUUAGAUCAGUUUUCAGUGUUUAUUUCCUGUUUUAUUUUGUAGGAGUUGAUUCCCUGUGUUUCUAGUCUGGUUUUACUUCCUGUGUUUUCCCUCCUCUGAAAUUGUCCUCACCUGUGUCUCACCUGUGUCUCACCUGUUGCUGGUUUCUCUGUGUGUAUACACUCACCGGCCACUUUAUUAGGUACACCUGUCCAACUGCUCGCUAACACUUAAUUUCUAAUCAGCCAAUCACAUGGCGGCAACUUAGUGCAUUUAGGCAUGUAGACAUGGUCAAGACAAUCUCCUGCAGUUCAAACCGAGCAUCAGUAUGGGGAAGAAAGGUGAUUUGAGUGACUUUGAACGUGGCAUGGUUGUUGGUGCCAGAAGGGCUGGUCUGAAUAUUUCAGAAACUGCUGAUCUACUGGGAUUUUCACGCACAACCAUCUCUAGGGUUUACAGAGAAUGGUCCGAAAAAGAAAAAAUAUCCAGUGAGCGGCAGUUCUGUGGGCGGAAAUGCCUUGUUGAUGCCAGAGGUCAGAGGAGAAUGGCCAGACUGGUUCGAGCUGAUAGAAAGGCAACAGUGACUCAAAUAACCACCCGUUACAACCAAGGUAGGCAGAAGAGCAUCUCUGAACGCACAGUACGUCAAACUUUGAGGCAGAUGGGCUACAGCAGCAGAAGACCACACCGGGUGCCACUCCUUUCAGCUAAGAACAGGAAACUGAGGCUACAAUUUGCACAAGCUCAUCGAAAUUGGACAAUAGAAGAUUGGAUGGUGUGGGGAAUAUUUUCUUGGCACUCUUUGGGCCCCU